rnacentral:rRNA from 1 species
UACAGAGGGUGCAAGCGUUAAUCGGAAUUACUGGGCGUAAAGCGCACGUAGGCGGUCAAGCAAGUCAGAUGUGAAAUCCCUGGACUCAAUCUGGGAACUGCAUCUGAUACUACUUGACUGGAGUAUGAUAGAGGAAAGUGGAAUUUCCAGUGUAGCGGUGAAAUGCGUAGAUAUUGGAAGGAACACCAGUGGCGAAGGCGACUUUCUGGAUCAAUACUGACGCUGAGGUGCGAAAGCGUGGGGAGCAAACAGG